rnacentral:rRNA from 1 species
AGAGAGUAACGCGUAAGUAAUCUGUCCUGGCAUCUGGUAUAACCUAUCGAAAGGUGAGCUAAUACCGGAUACGUCCUGCGGGAGAAAGACCGCCUCUGUUGUAAGCGGUUGUGCGAGGAGGAGCUUGCGUACCAUUAGCUGGUUGGUGGGGUAACGGCCUACCAAGGCGACGAUGGUUAGCGGGUCUGAGAGGAUGAUCCGCCACACUGGAACUGAAACACGGACCAGACUCCUACGGGAGGCAGCAGUGAGGAAUAUUGCGCAAUGGGGGCAACCCUGACGCAGCGACGCCGCGUGGAUGAUGAAGGCCUUCGGGUUGUAAAAUCCUGUCAGAUGGGAAGAAGUGUACGAUGGUUAAGAGCUGUCGUAUUUGACGGUACCAUCAAAGGAAGCACCGGCUAACUCCGUGCCAGCAGCCGCGGUAAUACGGAGGGUGCGAGCGUUGUUCGGAUUUACUGGGCGUAAAGCGCGCGUAGGCGGUGUGAUCAGUCAGCUGUGAAAGCCCAUGGCUCAACCAUGGACGUGCAGUUGAAACUGUCAGACUUGAGUACUGGAGGGGGUGGUGGAAUUCCCGGUGUAGAGGUGAAAUUCGUAGAUAUCGGGAGGAAUACCGGUGGCGAAGGCGACCGCCUGGCCAGAUACUGACGCUGA